UACGUAGGGUGCGAGCGUUAAUCGGAAUUACUGGGCGUAAAGCGUGCGCAGGCGGUUUUAUAAGUCAGAUGUGAAAUCCCCGGGCUCAACCUGGGACCUGCCUUUGAGACUGUAUAACUAGAGUACGGUAGAGGGGGAUGGAAUUCCGCGUGUAGCAGUGAAAUGCGUAGAUAUGCGGAGGAACACCGAUGGCGAAGGCAAUCCCCUGGACCUGUACUGACGCUCAUGCACGAAAGCGUGGGGAGCAAACAGG
rnacentral:rRNA from 1 species